rnacentral:rRNA from 1 species
CGGGUGAGUAACACGUGGAUAACCUACCUAUAAGACUGGGAUAACUUCGGGAAACCGGAGCUAAUACCGGAUAAUAUUUUGAACCGCAUGGUUCAAAAGUGAAAGACGGUCUUGCUGUCACUUAUAGAUGGAUCCGCGCUGCAUUAGCUAGUUGGUAAGGUAGCGGCUUACCAAGGCAACGAUGCAUAGCCGACCUGAGAGGGUGAUCGGCCACACUGGAACUGAGACACGGUCCAG